UACGGAGGGGGCUAGCGUUGUUCGGAAUUACUGGGCGUAAAGCGCACGUAGGCGGCUUUGUAAGUUAGAGGUGAAAGCCCCGGAGCUCAACUCCGGAAUAGCCUUUAAGACUGCAUCGCUAGAACGUUGGAGAGGUAAGUGGAAUUCCGAGUGUAGAGGUGAAAUUCGUAGAUAUUCGGAAGAACACCAGUGGCGAAGGCGACUUACUGGACAACUGUUGACGCUGAGGUGCGAAAGCGUGGGGAGCAA
rnacentral:rRNA from 1 species